rnacentral:lncRNA from 1 species
CACACUGUAGGCAGACGCUUUACCAUCUGAGCCACCAGGGAAGUCCUUUAAGGCUUAGAAGAAAGUCCAAAAUAGGAUUAAGUGGUUUUUCGGUGGGGGUGGUGCUGGUGGCCUUUUUGCUAGGUCACGUACAAGGAGAAUAAAAGCAACGGGGUUGUUUUCAGGAAUAAGAAAACACGUCGACUAAUUUCAGGAAAGAUUCAAGGACCAGCCUGUUCUGUGCUCGAGCUUGGCAGAUCCGUGAAGGGAACAAAACAUUGCGCCACUGAGAGGAAAGACGGCCCAAGUAGGGGCAUCUCCAGUUGCUCCCUGGGACACUCUGAUGUCCGAAAGCGACAGGAGCCGGGUCCCGAUAGUGGGCAGAGCUCAGAUCAAAGGUGACAGCAGCAGGACGCCCUCGCGAGGGAGAAAAGUUGCAAGGGGUCAACUCUGAGUCUCGGCUCUGGGCAACGCUCCGCGAUCCAAGGCCGCGGCUGUCAGUCAGCACCCUCGGCCCCGCCCCUCCCAGAGCUGGACCAAUCGCAGCCGGGGGUCGGGGGUGAGGCGACGCAGCGGGGCCAGGAAGCCAGGGCCAGGCGGCCUGGUGCUGCGGCUCUUGAGCCGGUUGUCCCGGUCCCCGGCAGCUGGAGAGCGCACGGCGGGAGGCCAGACCUGGAUGGAGCAGAAAGAAUGGUAUAA